rnacentral:rRNA from 1 species
UACGGGGGGAGCAAGCGUUGUUCGGAUUUACUGGGCGUAAAGGGCGCGUAGGCGGUCAGCACAAGUCAGUUGUGAAAUCUCCGGGCUUAACCCGGAAAGGUCAACUGAUACUGUGCGACUAGAGUGCGGAAGGGGCAACUGGAAUUCUCGGUGUAGCGGUGAAAUGCGUAGAUAUCGAGAGGAACACCUGCGGCGAAGGCGGCUCUCUGGACCAGCACUGACACUGAGGCACGAAAGCGUGGGGAGCAAACAGG